rnacentral:rRNA from 1 species
GAAGAAGUUUACUUUGGAUUCUUAGCGGCGGACGGGUGAGUAACGCGUGGGCAACCUACCCUGUACAGGGGGAUAACAAUGGGAAACCAUUGCUAAUACCCCAUGACGCCUUUUGGGGGCAUCCCUAAAAGGUCAAAGAACUUCGGUACAGGAUGGGCCCGCGUCUGAUUAGCUAGUUGGUGAGGUAAUGGCUCACCAAGGCGACGAUCAGUAGCCGGCCUGAGAGGGUGAACGGCCACACUGGAACUGAGACACGGUCCAGACUCCUACGGGAGGCAGCAGUGGGGAAUAUUGCACAAUGGGGGAAACCCUGAUGCAGCAACGCCGCGUGAGCGAUGAAGGCCUUCGGGUCGUAAAGCUCUGUCCUAAGGGAAGAUAAUGACGGUACCUUAGGAGGAAGCCCCGGCUAACUACGUGCCAGCAGCCGCGGUAAUACGUAGGGGGCAAGCGUUAUCCGGAAUCAUUGGGCGUAAAGGGUGCGUAGGCUGCCCUAUAGGUCAGAGGUCAAAGGCUACGGCUCAACCGUAGUAAGCCUUUGAAACUGUAGGGCUUGAGUGCAGGAGAGGAGAGUGGAAUUCCUAGUGUAGCGGUGAAAUGCGUAGAUAUUAGGAGGAACACCAGUGGCGAAGGCGACUCUCUGGACUGCAACUGACGCUGAGGCACGAAAGCGUGGGUAGCGAACAGGAUUAGAUACCCUGGUAGUCCACGCCGUAAACGAUGAGUGCUAGGUGUUGGGGGUCGAACCUCGGUGCCGAAGUUAACGCAUUAAGCACUCCGCCUGGGGAGUACGUACGCAAGUAUGAAACUCAAAGGAAUUGACGGGGACCCGCACAAGCAGCGGAGCAUGUGGUUUAAUUCGAAGCAACGCGAAGAACCUUACCUGGACUUGACAUCCCUCUGACCGAUUCUUAACCGAAUCCUUCCCUUCGGGGACAGAGGAGACAGGUGGUGCAUGGUUGUCGUCAGCUCGUGUC